GAAAACUAGGUGCCCCGCCCCGCCCCCCUCGCCCCAACCAGCUUUGCAUCGUGGUUUCUUUCCGUUUGCCUUUGAAGAACAGAGCCAAUGAAUUGCCGCUAGGUGUCCUCCAAGUAAAAAUAAUGAGAGAAAAGGAAUUUCUGAUCUUACCACAGCCAGAUGACUCAUACCCACUGACUGGCUCCUUGGGCUUCUGCAAAACACCUGGAAAGAUAAACCUGACCCAGAAAACAAUCUCUCGCUCCAGGUUAGCCUUUCAAGUCCUUUUAAAAUUUCACUAGAAGAAAUCUCCUGACCAAGAUCUAAGGCCCAUCACCUGCCUUCUUAUGGAAAGACGUAUUCAGCAGAAAAGUCUGGUCAGUGGAGAAGGAAUCUGAACCAAAGGAGUUGGUAUGCUCUGGCAGAGGUUAUUUGAAAUUAUAGAAAAAAACAGAGAACAGAGGGCCUUAAGUAAGUGAGCUGAUGGUUGAGGCAAAGGGAUACAAAUAGCCCUACGUUCAAGGGGUCACCACAUUCAAGAUUCAGUCCAGAGAUCUGAAAGGGCAGAAACUCAGUGCUGACGGUAGUCACAGAAGACCAAUCAAAGAGGGAAUGCUUAUAUUAAUGCUUGUUAAGAUAAUUCACAAUAGGUGGACAAAAGUUCACAGACCAGCACUGGUCUAUGGACAAUACUUUGAGGAGGACUACUCUGGACAAGCAGGGAGGACCAAUACAAACUAAGUUUUUAUUUUCUUUUGUAAAACCAUCUGCCUCUUAAUCACCAAAGUUAUACAAGUUUUAUAUGCUGAGUAACCUCUUCAGGAUAUACAAACCACAGAAUUCCGAUGACUCACCCCAAAAUAGCUUAUGAAUAUGCCAGGGGCGGAAGGGCAUGCUGUUUGGUUCUCUAAAACUUCCUGCCAAACUGAAGAAACUGAACAUACACAGAUAUUUGGGGACUAACUAGGAAAGAUACCAACGAACAACUUAAUACUUCAAACAACAACCACCAUUGCAGGAGUCACUUUGAUUGGAGUUUGAAAGGAAUGCCACUAUCCAGCUGCCCUGGACAUUUGUGGAAGAAAUGUAAUAUGCAAAAGGAAGAGAAAGGGAAGAGCACUGGACUCCCCUUUCCAGUCCAAGCUCUGACUAGAGUCAAGUUGCUGAACCUCUGAGUGGCCAUCUAUAAAAUGGGGGCAGUUUCUGCCUUGUUACAAAUGCUACAUGGAAACAAGUAUGAGACAUGUUUCAUAAAUUUAAUAUGUUCUAUUCAUAUGCAUGCUUUAAACAGUUAUGGCACUUUAAUUGACUAGUUUAUUCAAAAACUAUUCUGCAAGAGUUAAGAGUCAGAAAUAUACUUUCCUUUUCUUUGCUUAUUAUAUACUCAAAGGACAUAAAGACUCUCAUUUUAAGGAGCAGUACAGGAAAGAAACAGGAGAAAGCCUUCAAGUCCCAAAGAGAAAAAGAAUUUGA